UACGGGGGGAGCAAGCGUUGUUCGGAUUUACUGGGCGUAAAGGGCGCGUAGGCGGCCCGCUAAGUCGAACGUGAAAUCCCCGGGCUCAACCCGGGAACUGCGUCCGAUACUGGCAGGCUUGAAUCCGGGAGAGGGAUGCGGAAUUCCAGGUGUAGCGGUGAAAUGCGUAGAUAUCUGGAGGAACACCGGUGGCGAAGGCGGCAUCCUGGACCGGCAUUGACGCUGAGGCGCGAAAGCCAGGGGAGCAAACGGG
rnacentral:rRNA from 1 species